GAAAUGCGAUAAGUAAUGUGAAUUGCAGAAUUCCGUGAAUCAUCGAAUCUUUGAACGCACAUUGCGCCCUCUGGUAUUCCGGGGGGCAUGCCUGUCCGAGCGUCAUUGCACACCCUCAAGCGCGGCUUGUGUGUUGGGCCCCCGCGUCCUUGCCUCCUGAAAGGACGGGCCCGAAAGGCAGUGGCGGCUUCGCGGUUAUCCGAUCAGCCAGAGCGUAUGGGGACUUUCUCUCUGUCACACGCCCGCGGCGCGGACCGACGCCUGUCGACCUUUAUUCAUCUUUUUCUCGGUUGACCUCGGAUCAGGUAGGGAUACCCGCUGAACUUAAGC
rnacentral:misc_RNA from 1 species